rnacentral:rRNA from 1 species
AUUGAACGCUGGCGGCAUGCUUUACACAUGCAAGUCGAACGGCAGCGCGGGCUUCGGCCUGGCGGCGAGUGGCGAACGGGUGAGUAAUACAUCGGAACGUGCCCAGUAGUGGGGGAUAGCUCGGCGAAAUCCGGAUUAAUACCGCAUACGACCUGAGGGUGAAAGCGGGGGAUCUUCGGACCUCGCGCUAUUGGAGCGGCCGAUGGCAGAUUAGCUAGUUGGUGGGGUAAAGGCCUACCAAGGCGACGAUCUGUAGCUGGUCUGAGAGGACGACCAGCCACACUGGGACUGAGACACGGCACAGACUCCUACGGGAGGCAGCAGUGGGGAAUUUUGGACGAUGGGCGAAUGCCUGAUCCAGCAAUGUCGCGUGUGUGAUGAAGGCCUUCGGGUUGGAAAGCAAUUUUGGCGGGAACGAAAAGGACUGUGCCAAUACCACGGUUCGAUGACGGUACCCGCAGAAUAAGCACCGGCUAACUACGUG